UAAUAUUAACUACUCCCCCAAUAAGCAGUUAACAAUUAUUCAAAGCCGACCCCUUAUCCCAACUCAACCCACGGUCAACAUUCCAACUUGUUCGACGAAAUGAUACAAAGAAGAACAGACAUGGAAGAUUAGAAAACCCAAAAAGGAAAGGAAAAACAAAUCUGACAGUCAAAUUCAUUGUUUUUGGAUAUCAGAGAAAAUGCCAUUCAACGGAGUAUUAUUAGUGUCAGUGGCGAAAACAUCAGCAGAAGUUUGGCAAUUCUUAUCAUGUCUGCCAGACCCAAUUGAGAGCGAGCAGCUAUUGGAUCUGGUCAUCUGCUUCCCUCUUCAACAAUUGGGUCGCUUAGCUCUUUGUGUUUGGACUUUCCUUUGUGUCCCACCUGACCCUUAUUACUAUCGCCGUUACUCUUACAAUUCUUCUGCGUCUUCUUCAUCUUCAUCAUUUUAUGACGAGGAGGAUCUUGUUGGUGCUUCCCCUCCUGUUGCAGCUCCUCAAUAUUACUAUGAUUCUUCUUCUUCUUCACAUUCGGAUUGACCCUCAUAAGCUAAUCUAAUUAUUUUGUAAAAUAGUUGCCUUCUUGCCCUGUUUGGUUUUCUGUUUUUUUUUUGUCUUUUUUUUUGGUUGUAUAAUAUCCAUAUCUGUUGACCACUAAAGAAAAGGAAAAAAAAGGGGUUGAUUCUGUUAUUGAUGUAGUGAAACUGAUGAAGUGUUCAUUUUUUGAUAAUCAUAAUUCUUAUUUAUGAUAUUUAUGUAAAUAUAUUGAGCUUAUCUUACAUUUUCCUUGUUAAAAAAUAUGAUUUUUUAUUUAUUUGGGGGAAGGAAGGGGGGUUUCUUGAGCUGUAUGUUACCUGUCUAAGAGAACAUUUUUAGCAAGAAUUUGAUGCUUGGCUAGUAGAGAUUGAUUUUGGAGAUGUGUUAGAAGAUUGCUUUGAAGUUCCAUUGAGUCUUCUUGUGCCAAAGACAUUAUGUGAAUUCUGUCAUGGAUCAUACUGUAGAAUUCUAUUUUAGGAUUCUGUCAUGUAACUACUCUACAUUAGGAUUCUAUGUAAGUUCUUUCUACUUGUGUAUGACAUGUUUAGAGUAGUAUGUGUGUUUAUUUACACAACUGCAAACUUUAAAUCCUCGUAUAAAACAUACUAAUAUCCUUCCCUUUUCCCUGUUUUGCUAUGAGCCUGAAAUAUGCCUUAGUAAAGGAGUGUGCUGAUGGGAGGGUACUCUUAUUGGUGGGAGUUUAAAAAGUUUAAUUUCCUUCCCUUUUCCCUGUAUUUGCUUGUCUCACUUCCUUCUUCCCUUUAGAUAUCUUAUUUUUCAGCCACCUCAAUGCUUAAAAGUUAUUUCUUAUAUUUUAAUUGAAACAUCAUCUAUUGCACCUGGUUAUAGAGCUUUUGUGGUUACAGAUAGUUGUCUGUAGGUCACAAAGAGUAGCUGUAAAAGCAGCAUGCUGGUAAUGCUGCUGAAACUGAGCCAGCAAUCCGCUUACAUAUUCAUUGUGGUUCUCCAGCUUGUUAGGUGGAAAAGGAUAGACAAAUUGUAGAUUCUUCUUUAAAAGAUACAAAACAAUCUAAUUUCCAUGUUUUGGCUAUAGCAAAUAUGUCAUCUAUGCUAGCUAUAAGAAUGGUGAGUAGGGGAUUCUCAGGAACAAAUUGAUUGUGGAGUUACUAAUAUAAGUCCGGGUGAUUACAGGAGUUGGAGAUAGAUGGCUACCACCAUGUCUAGCAUGCACGUCUAGUCCUCAUUUCCGCACUAGGUAGCUUCUAAUUAGUUAGCCUUCUUCACCAGACUAUUCCAUCUCCAUUAUUUGUCCUUUCCACUUAAAAUUUUCAAGAGAUCAUUGAUGAACAGACUGCAACUUGUAUCCAUCUUUUCUAUUUAUUGCUUCAGUAUUAACCAAAGACUUUAUAGUAUCCUAGUGUAGUAAAAGAGCAGACCAGUAAUAGUCCAUAGUUGGUAAAACUGAUGGGCUUAAUAUAAUGAUAAUCCUCAUUAACACAAUUUUGUUACUAUGGCAAAACUGAUGGGCUUAAUAUUUGUUGCUAUGGAAGCCGCCAUUACUGAAGGUUUGUUAUUGGGAGUGUUUGCAUUUCCAUUAAUGCAAUGUUAAGCAUGCUGUACACCAUAGCCUAAUUUGCUGCACAAUGAGCCGGCAAGAAAUUUUUGAACUCAUGUGCACAUUUGUUCUAUCACCUAUGCAAUGUGCCAUCUCUUGCUGAUUGCUUGGGUUUCAGCAGAGCUAUUAAAAGAUGAAGAGAAUGUCUGACAGUCUGAAGUCCAUGACAAGGAAUAGUAUGAAGUUGUCUUACUAAGUGAUCAAAAUUGCUUGGCACUGUGAUCAAUAGAUUGACAUCAAUGCUUCAUUAGGAGAUGAAAGAACAUGUGCUUAGAGCCAAUGUUUGAUUAUCUCAUAAAAGGUGAUGGAAAAUACCAAUCAAAGUCUAAAAGACCGAAAAACCACCAAACAAAAUCUAUGAUGUCAGAAUCUAAGACCCGUAGUAGUCACUCGAAGCAUCCUUUCACCCAAUAUCCUAGAAAUGAGUACUUACGUACCAGAAUAUAUGAUUGAUGGAAUAACUUGUGGUAACAGCGUAUAAAUGUUUUCAAUGGUAUGGAGAAAAUGUAACAUAUAUCUAUUUAUUAUCCUCUGUUGAAACUGUCUCUUAUGAGUUGCUAGAGGUCUAACAGUAUCUGAUUAUUCAUGGCUGGUAAGAAUCUCCUAGGCACCGAACAUUUGCUUA